UUUUUUUUUUCCCGAGAGGUCUUUCUGUAUUUCAGCACUACAGGUGUGGGCAGACAGAACAGCUCAUCCAGAAAGAAUCCAAACUGAAAACCUAACUUUCAAAUCACACCCACAUGUUAAGCUGGUGCAGCAGCCUCCCCAGAUACAAGGAAAAUGACCCUUCUCUGCAUGGCACUCAGUGGUGUAAAGACACUCGGACUCUUAAGCUUAUAGAAGACAGAGCUUUCUAGUGGGCUGAAAAUACUUAAUGUUCCAUUGUUUGCCCUCUGAUUCCUCAGGUGGCCACUGAAAUCUCAUGCAUUCGUCGGCUCAAAGUUUGGAAUUCUACCUAGUCUUGAGACUACUAUCUUGUAUUUCUUUGCAGUAAUUUUUUUGCAUUGAGAUUUCUUUCCCUCUGAAUUCUAGCCUGGUGCCUUGUAGGUUUCUUGCUGCCUUCCCUUUCCCAGAUAAUAGCAUCCUACAAAAUUUGGUGUUAUUUCUAAACCCAGAGUAGAUACUUCAGUCCUAGUGAUUAUUUCCCUAGGCUGUCAGCUCAUAUGGUAGCCCUCAAAAGUUGAAUGCUGGCCAGGUGCAGUGGCUCACACCUGUAAUCCCAGCACUUUGGGAGGCCAAGGGAGGUGGAUCACGAGGUCAGGAGUUUGACACCAGCCUGGGCAAC
rnacentral:lncRNA from 1 species